GACGGAGGGUGCAAGCGUUGUUCGGAAUUACUGGGCGUAAAGCGCGGGCAGGCGGUCUGUUAAGUCGUUUGUGAAAAUCCGGGGCUCAACCCCGGAAAUGCAUACGAUACUGGCAGGCUGGAGACUGGUAGAGGCUAGCGGAAUUCCUGGUGUAGCGGUGGAAUGCGUAGAUAUCAGGAGGAACACCGGUGGCGAAGGCGGGUCUCUGGGCCGAUACUGACGCUGAGGAGCGAAAGCGUGGGGAGCGAACAGG
rnacentral:rRNA from 1 species